CCUACGGGAGGCAGCAGUGAGGAAUAUUGGUCAAUGGGCGCGAGCCUGACCCAGCAACGCCGCGUGAAGGAAGAAGGCUUUCGGGUUGUAAACUUCUUUUGUCAGGGACGAAGCAAGUGACGGUACCUGACGAAUAAGCCACGGCUAACUACGUGCCAGCAGCCGCGGUAAUACGGCGGUGGCAAGCGUUAUCCGGAUUUACUGGGUGUAAAGGGCGUGUAGGCGGGGAAGCAAGUCAGAUGUGAAAACCACGGGCUCAACCUGUGGCCUGCAUUUGAAACUGUUUUUCUUGAGUGCUGGAGAGGCAAUCGGAAUUCCGGGUGUAGCGGUGAAAGGCGUAGAUAUACGGAGGAACACCAGUGGCGAAGGCGGAUUGCUGGACAGUAACUGACGCUGAGGCGCGAAAGCGUGGGGAGCAAACAGGAUUAGAUACCCCUGUAGUC
rnacentral:rRNA from 1 species